UACGUAGGAUGCGAGCGUUGUCCGGAAUUAUUGGGCGUAAAGAGAACGUAGGCGGUUUGUUAAGUUUGGGCUUAAAGACUGGGGCUCAACCCCAGGAGUGGCUCGAAAACUGACAGACUAGAGGAUGGCAGAGGAAAGUGGAAUUCCCAGUGUAGCGGUGAAAUGCGUAGAUAUUGGGAGGAACACCAGUGGCGAAAGCGACUUUCUGGGCCAUUCCUGACGCUGAGGUUCGAAAGCUCGGGGGAGCAAACAGG
rnacentral:rRNA from 1 species